AACGUACCUCCUUCGGCGGUACGUCAUUGCUGCGGUUAUUAACCACAACACCUUCCUCCCGCUGAAAGUACUUUACAACCCGAAGGCCUUCUUCAUACACGCGGCAUGGCUGCAUCAGGCUUGCGCCCAUUGUGCAAUAUUCCCCACUGCUGCCUCCCGUAGGGGGGCGGGGGCGGCGGGCCGGGCGCGGGGCGCGGCGGGCGA
rnacentral:rRNA from 1 species